UCACAACUCUGGGUGGUUAUUGUGAGCAAGAUGGCUGGAACAAUCAUGUUUUAGCGAGAACCGGAGUACACAACUGCACUCACAAGCAGCUCCGACGCCAGCUAACGAGUAUUUGAAGACGAGCUGUGCCUGGUGACGGAUGCUAAGCACUCGGCCAACAUGACGGCGCUGACUCUCUGCCUCCUCUACAGCCUGUCCAUCCAGGCCUACUGGACCGCGCUGCAGAGGUCCCCUAAGCUGGAGGCCCACAUCAGCCACGUGGCCCUCCAGCACCCCACAUCCUGCUCCAACCUUCUCUGUGACAGUCACUAAGUCCUCCGUCUGUCCACACUGCAGCACCUGGUCUUAGUAUACACAUUUGACACAAUUGAAAACUCUGUGUCGUACAUUUCAAGGUGCAUUUUGUUCUGCACAUUUCCUCAUAAAUUGGUGUCUUGAUCUGUUCACACUGCAGCACACAGCACACGCUUUUUUCAUAGCAGGUGAUGAUGAUGACGAUUUUGGUUCAAUACUGAAUAACUCUCACUGUCCAGGCUUCCUUUAAAUCAGUCCAAAAUCGAAGUUGGUGUAAGGUUGGGGGGAAAAAAACGUGUUCUUUUGCUCCUGUGUAUCUUUCUGGUGUAUAUACGCAUAUAUUGCAUUUGGAUUACUGAUACAGUGUUAUGUGGGUUGCUAACUGGAUUCAUCCUGUGAUUUCUUAUUUUUUUUGUUUUUGAUUAUUAUUUGUGUACUUGUUUGAUAUUUUCGCUGCAUUGUCAGGAGCUAGUGACACAAGCAUUUCGCUGUACCCACGAUAACAACUGUGUACGCAACCAAUAAACUGUGAUUUGAUCUGUU